GACUUUGGUUGCCAGGUGGCUCUUCAGAUAACAGUGAUUAUAUAAAUGAUCAGUGAACAAUGUGUCCAGCCUUAAUGAUCUCUAAGGUUUUAUUUGUUUGUAUUACAGUAUUAGAGGUUAUUUGUGUGACAUGAAGCCUUUAAACAAUGUGUCAAACUCAAGGUCCGGGGACCGAAUGUGGUGAAAUAUAAUUCUUUAUUUUUCUGUUUUUCUGCUAACUAUUUUCUGUUUUGUAAUAAUAAUAAUAAUAAUAAUUCUACAAUUAUUGGAUUUAUAUAUUUUAUAUUUUUGAGGAGAUUUAAAGUGUGUUACAAAAACCACUAUUCAUUCACAGCAGUCAUACCGGUGGUGGUAAGCUACAAUGUAGCCACACACACACACACACACACACACACACACACACACACACACACACACACACACACACACACACACACACACACACACACACACACACACACACACAGAGAGAGAGAGACACACACACAGAGACACACACACACACAGACAGACAGACAGACAGAUAGACACGCACACACACACACACACACGUCUCUGAUUGUGUUUCAGGGUCGUUGUCUUCUGAACAUGUGACCUCAAAAAACACAAAGCACCUGUGUAAGCUCCGCCCCCCCAUGCAGGUAACAUUUCAACAUUUCAGUGUAACACACGUUCAUCAUCAGCAGAACAUCACGGACCGACAGAACCAUGAAGAGGAUGAGGAGACUGUUCACUAAGGAUGUUGAUCCUCCUGAGGUGAACCGACCUUCGACCCCGGAAAUGAAAAAUGAAGCAAAGCAAAGUUCGUUAGUGGAUGUGGAGAUACAGAAAGUAGUCCUCCGACCAAUGGAUGAUCAGCUCUCAGACAUCAGACAGCGCAAACACCUGAGUGGCUCUCUGUACUGGGCUCCACCCCCUGCUGUCGUGUGUCAGGGCCCAGGUCCUGGUCACAUGACCAGCGUGUCUCUCCCCUCCUCCCCACUCAUGGGGGUAAGGGAGAGGCAGCCCUCCUCCCUGUCGCGCCUGUGGGUGGAGGCGGCUCUGCACAGGAUCAAUCAGAGGCCUCAGCUUAGCCCCUCCCCUCAGGUGAGGGCGCGGUCCAGGUACUGUCAGCUGACACCGUGCGCCUGCCGCAGGUGUCCCAGCGCGCCUCCAUAUGAAGACGCUCACCUGAGAACAGAUGAAGGCCACGCCCCUGAGGCUGACCACGCCCAUUCGACAGGCGGACUCUACCCCAGUCUGAGUCUGUGUGGGUUUACUAAUGACCCUCAGGUGAGACUGGGAACAUAAGGAUUAAUUAAUCAUUUAAAAACGAUGAUUAAUGACAGGAUCAGAUUACUAGUUAUAAUAACCAGUUACUAGUUACCACUUUAUUUUAUUAUUAGUAACUAAUGCUAACUAAUGCUGUGUUUCAGGUCUGACGGCUUCGUUGGAUCAAACAAUACAAACUUUUGGUUUCAAAUCCUUCAUUUUCACAAUAAAAGCCUCUUGAUUUAAAAGCUGACGGACCA
rnacentral:lncRNA from 1 species